AUUGAACGCUGGCGACAGGCCUAACACAUGCAAGUCGAGCGCGAAAGUCUUCGGAUGAGUAAAGCGGCGAACGGGUGAGUAAUGCAUGGGAAUCUGCCUGGUAGUGGGGGACAACGUCUCGAAAGGGACGCUAAUACCGCAUACGCCUACGGGGGAAAGGGGGGGAGUCUUCGGACCUCUCGCUAUCAGAUGAGCCCAUGUCAGAUUAGCUAGUUGGUGAGGUAAAGGCUCACCAAGGCGACGAUCUGUAACUGGUCUGAGAGGAUGAUCAGUCACACUGGAACUGAGACACGGUCCAGACUCCUACGGGAGGCAGCAGUGGGGAAUAUUGGACAAUGGGGGCAACCCUGAUCCAGCCAUGCCGCGUGUGUGAAGAAGGCCCUAGGGUUGUAAAGCACUUUCAGUGGGGAGAAAGGUUAUUCACCUAAUACGUGAGUAGAUUGAUGUUACCCACAGAAGAAGCACCGGCUAACUCCGUGCCAGCAGCCGCGGUAAU
rnacentral:rRNA from 1 species